AACGAACGCUGGCGGCAUGCCUAACACAUGCAAGUCGAACGAGACCUUCGGGUCUAGUGGCGAACGGGUGCGUAACGCGUGGGAACCUGCCCUUAGGUUCGGAAUAACUCCCCGAAAGGGGUGCUAAUACCGGAUAAUGUUUUCGGACCAAAGAGUUAUCGCCUUUGGAUGGGCCCGCGUUGGAUUAGCUAGUUGGUAGGGUAAAAGCCUACCAAGGCGACGAUCCAUAGCUGGUCUGAGAGGAUGAUCAGCCACACUGGGACUGAGACACGGCCCAGACUCCUACGGGAGGCAGCAGUGGUGAAUAUUGGACAAUGGGCGAAAGCCUGAUCCAGCAAUGCCGCGUGAGUGAUGAAGGCCUUAGGGUUGUAAAGCUCUUUUACCCGGGAUGAUAAUGACAGUACCGGGAGAAUAAGCUCCGGCUAACUCCGUG
rnacentral:rRNA from 1 species